rnacentral:rRNA from 1 species
GGGGGGCGGUGGGGGGGGGGGGGGGGCGGGCGGGGCGGGCGGGGAGGCGGGGGGGGGGCGGGUCGGACGUGGGCGGGGGACGGGUGAGUAACACGUGGAUAACCUACCUAUAAGACUGGGAUAACUUCGGGAAACCGGAGCUAAUACCGGAUAAUAUAUUGAACCGCAUGGUUCAAUAGUGAAAGACGGUUUUGCUGUCACUUAUAGAUGGAUCCGCGCCGCAUUAGCUAGUUGGUAAGGUAACGGCUUGCCAAGGCAACGAUGCGUAGCCGACCUGAGAGGGUGAUCGGCCACACUGGAACUGAGACACGGUCCAGACUCCUACGGGAGGCAGCAGUAGGGAAUCUUCCGCAAUGGGCGAAAGCCUGACGGAGCAACGCCGCGUGAGUGAUGAAGGUCUUCGGAUCGUAAAACUCUGUUAUUAGGGAAGAACAAAUGUGUAAGUAACUAUGCACGUCUUGACGGUACCUAAUCAGAAAGCCACGGCUAAUUACGUG